UUCUAGUGUAGAGGUGAAAUUCGUAGAUAUAGAAAGAAUACCAAUUGCGAAGGCAGCUUUCUGGAUCAUUACUGACACUGAGGAACGAAAGCAUGGGUAGCGAAGAGGAUUAGAUACCCUCGUAGUCCAUGCCGUAAACGAUGUGUGUUAGACGUUGGAAAUUUAUUUUCAGUGUCGCAGCGAAAGCGAUAAACACACCGCCUGGGGAGUACGACCGCAAGGUUAAAACUCAAAUGAAUUGACGGGGACCCGCACAAGUAGUGGAGCAUGUGGUUUAAUUCGAAGAUACGCGCAGAACCUUACCAACACUUGACAUGUUCGUCGCGACUCUAAGAGAUUAGAGUUUUCGGUUCGGCCGGACGAAACACAGGUGCUGCAUGGCUGUCGUCAGCUCGUGUCGUGAGAUGUUGGGUUAAGUCCCGCAACGAGCGCAACCCUCACUUUUAGUUGCCAUCAUUAAGUUGGGCACUCUGAAAGAACUGCCAGUGAUAAGCUGGAGGAAGGUGGGGAUGACGUCAAGUCCUCAUGGCCCUUACGUGUUGGGCUACACACGUGCUACAAUGGUAUCUACAACAGGAAGCAAAACUGCGAAGUUAAGCAAAUCCCUAAAAGAUACCUCAGUUCGGAUUGCACUCUGCAACUCGAGUGCAUGAAGCUGGAAUUACUAGUAAUCGUGGAUCAGCGUGCCACGGUGAAUGCGUUCCCGGGUCUUGUACACACCGCCCGUCACACCAUGGGAGUUGGUUCUACCUUAAGGCAAGGUUUUAAACCCUUGACCACGGUAUAGUCAGCGACUGGGGUGAAGUCGUAACAAGGUAACCGU
rnacentral:rRNA from 1 species